rnacentral:rRNA from 1 species
ACGGGUGAGUAACACGUGGGUAACCUGCCUGUAAGACUGGGAUAACUCCGGGAAACCGGGGCUAAUACCGGAUGCUUGAUUGAACCGCAUGGUUCAAUUAUAAAAGGUGGCUUUUAGCUACCACUUACAGAUGGACCCGCGGCGCAUUAGCUAGUUGGUGAGGUAACGGCUCACCAAGGCAACGAUGCGUAGCCGACCUGAGAGGGUGAUCGGCCACACUGGGACUGAGACACGGCCCAGACUCCUACGGGAGGCAGCAGUAGGGAAUCUUCCGCAAUGGACGAAAGUCUGACGGAGCAACGCCGCGUGAGUGAUGAAGGUUUUCGGAUCGUAAAACUCUGUUGUUAGGGAAGAACAAGUACCGUUCGAAUAGGGCGGUACCUUGACGGUACCUAACCAGAAAGCCACGGCUAACUACGUGCCAGCAGCCGCGGUAAUACGUAGGUGGCAAGCGUUGUCCGGAAUUAUUGGGCGUAAAGCGCGCGCAGGCGGUUUCUUAAGUCUGAUGUGAAAGCCCCCGGCUCAACCGGGGAGGGUCAUUGGAAACUGGGGAACUUGAGUGCAGAAGAGGAGAGUGGAAUUCCACGUGUAGCGGUGAAAUGCGUAGAGAUGUGGAGGAACACCAGUGGCGAAGGCGACUCUCUGGUCUGUAACUGACGCUGAGGCGCGAAAGCGUGGGGAGCGAACAGGAUUAGAUACCCUGGUAGUCCACGCCGUAAA